rnacentral:rRNA from 1 species
AACGAACGCUGGCGGCGCGCCUAACACAUGCAAGUCGCGCGAGAAAAGGGGGCAACUCCUGAGUAAAGCGGCGCACGGGUGCGUAACACGUGGGUAAUCUACCUCGAGGUCGGGAAUAACCUUCCGAAAGGAGGGCUAAUGCCCGGUAAGACCACGGGAGCUUCGGCUCUUGUGAGAAAAGCAGGCCUCUGUUCACAAGCUUGCGCCAUGAGAUGAGCCCGCGGCCCAUCAGCUAGUUGGCGGGGUAACGGCCCACCAAGGCAACGACGGGUAGCUGGUCUGAGAGGACGAUCAGCCACACUGGAACUGAGACACGGUCCAGACUCCUACGGGAGGCAGCAGUGGGGAAUCUUGCACAAUGGGCGAAAGCCUGACGCAGCGACGCCGCGUGUGUGAGGAAGGUCUUCGGAUCGUAAAGCACUUUCGGCCGGGAAGAACAAGCAUGAGGCUAACAUCCACGUGCCCUGACGGUACCGGCAGAAGAAGCAACGGCUAACUCUGUGCCAGCAGCCGCGGUAAGAC